rnacentral:rRNA from 1 species
GCAGUAGCCGCGGUAAUACGGAGGGUGCAAGCGUUAAUCGGAAUUACUGGGCGUAAAGCGCACGCAGGCGGUCUGACAAGUCAGAUGUGAAAUCCCCGGGCUUAACCUGGGAACUGCAUUUGAAACUGUCAGGCUGGAGUCUUGUAGAGGGGGGUGGAAUUCCAGGUGUAGCGGUGAAAUGCGUAGAGAUCUGGAGGAAUACCGGUGGCGAAGGCGGCCCCCUGGACAAAGACUGACGCUCAGGUGCGAAAGCGUGGGGAGCAAACAGGAUUAGAUACCCCUGUAGUCCCUGUCUCUUAUAC